rnacentral:rRNA from 1 species
GUCUACAGUCAUGCCACCCUGAACAAGCCGGAUCCUGUCUGACCUCGGAAGCUAAGCAGAGUUGGGCCUGGUUAGUACCUGGAUGGGAGACCACCUAGGGUGCUGUAGGCA